AGCUCAGUGGUAGAGCACGUGCUUGGCAGGCACAAAAUCCUGGGUUCGAGCCCCAG
rnacentral:tRNA from 1 species